GUCCCCAUUGCCGACCGCCGCGCCUCCGCCUCCCCCUGGCGCCGCCGCCUCGGCCCCCGCCGCCGUCGCCGCCUCCCCAUCGCCGGCCAUCUCUGCCUCCCGCCAUCCCCAUCGUCGGCCGCCUCCCCCCUCGCGCCAUCACCGUCACCGAGUGCACCCGUCUCUUCCUCCGCCACCGCUGUCGUCGUCGCCGAGCGCCGUCGGUGCCACCUCCGCCUCGCUCCGCCGCUGCUGCCGUCGCCGAGCACUGCCGCAGCAUCGUCGUCCACUGCCGCCGCCAUCGCCGAGCGUCGCCGCUGCGUCCUUCGCCGCCAUCACCAACGGCCGCUGCUCCGCCCUCCGUUGCCGCUGCCAUAGAAGAAACGGCAGUGGUGACAGAACCGACAUCUUCGGCUUCUCCAGUUUCCUUCCACCUCUUCCCCUCACCUCCUCGCCGCCUUCGGAAGCCCUAGCGAAGCGACUGACGCGAGCGCUGAGGCGGCGGCAGAGGAGGAGGAGGAGCGAGCACCAUGGCGGAGGACGACUACAACGACAUGGAUAUGGGGUACGAGGAUGAGCCCCCAGAACCUGAGAUUGAGGAGCUGAGGAAGAGCCUGAGAAUAACAAUGAGGAUGCUGUGGAUGACGUGGUUGGGGCUGAAGAUGACAGGGAGCAAGAAAAGACGGCUCGCCCAUGGAAAACAUCAAAGUAUAUGACAAAAUACGAGCGUGCACGCAUCCU